AACGAACGCUGGCGGCGCGCCUAAUACAUGCAAGUCGAGCGAGAAGACGUAGCAAUACGUUUGUAAAGCGGCGAACGGGUGNGGAAUACAUGGGUAACCUACCCUCGAGUGGGAUAACUAGCCGAAAGGUUAGCUAAUACCGCGUACGCUCCUUGGACUUCGGUUCAGGGAGGAAAGGCGAUACCGUGGGUAUCGCGCUCUUGGAUGGGCUCAUGUCCUAUCAGCUUGUUGGUGAGGUAACGGCUCACCAAGGCUUCGACGGGUAGCUGGUCUGAGAGGACGAUCAGCCACACU
rnacentral:rRNA from 1 species